ACCCUGGGAUAGCUCAGCCGGUAGAGCAUCAGACUCUUAAUCUCAGAGUCGUGGGUUCAAAGCCCACAUUGGGCA